GUGCUCGCUUCACCAGCAUAUAUACCAAAAUUGGAACAAUACAGAGAUGAUCAGCACGGCCCCCACACAAGGAUGAUAUGCAUACCCGGGAAGCGUUCUAUAUUUAA